CUUCCGGCUACCUCAGCCUGUUCAAGAAGUGGGCGGGUCGCAGUUGGCUCUGAGCCGGACAGGUCGCCCGGGGAAAGGCUUUUGUCACCUUGCGGGGGAACUUUGAGGACGGCUCAUGCUUCCUACCUGUGUGUGACUUUAUCACGCUAGUAUUCCUGUUUUACAAACGAAGAAGCAGGAAGAUUAAGAAACGUCACAGUAAAGCCGGGCGGAUAUCGGUGUCUGCAAAGGCCAGAAGAGGGCAUUAGAAGUCUUGGAGCUGAAGUUAAAAGGCUUUUGUGAAUCACCAAAUGUGGGCGUGGUGUUUCAAACUCAGUCCUCAUGAUUGGGCAGAAAGUACCCUUAACCAUUGAGCCAUCUCUCCAGCCCCUCAGAAAAGCUUCUUCAGGCUUUGAAGGAUGAAAAUGUGUAAAAUCACAGCCUCUUUAAACAAAAUAAUUCUCUGGAAAAAAUCCUUGCCGCCAUGGAACCAUACAGCGUGACAACUCUGUCUACUCCCACACAAGGUUCAAGACGUGAGCUCUCAGCUUGCUGCUCCAGCCACACGCCUGCCUGCUGCCACACCACCCUGCCAUCAUGGCGAUGAACUCGGCGCUCUGGAACCAUGAGCCCAAAUACAUACAUGACUAGAGGGCUGAGCCUGCUAAUCUGACAAUCUGAGUUUGAUUUUGGGGUCCCACGUGAUAGGACAGAACCAUCCAGCACAGGUCAUUUUCUGACCUCCACAUGCAUAUUAUGGCACAUGUGUGUUCAUGUACACACACAGAAACACACACACACACACACACACACACACACACACGGAAAAUUAAUA